UCAGAUUGAACGCUGGCGGCAGGCUUGACACAUGCAAGUCGAGCGGAGAUGAGGUGCUUGCACCUUAUCUUAGCGGCGGACGGGUGAGUAAUGCUUAGGAAUCUGCCUAUUAGUGGGGGACAACAUUCCGAAAGGAAUGCUAAUACCGCAUACGUCCUACGGGAGAAAGCAGGGGAUCUUCGGACCUUGCGCUAAUAGAUGAGCCUAAGUCGGAUUAGCUAGUUGGUGGGGUAAAGGCCUACCAAGGCGACGAUCUGUAGCGGGUCUGAGAGGAUGAUCCGCCACACUGGGACUGAGACACGGCCCAGACUCCUACGGGAGGCAGCAGUGGGGAAUAUUGGACAAUGGGGGGAACCCUGAUCCAGCCAUGCCGCGUGUGUGAAGAAGGCCUUAUGGUUGUAAAGCACUUUAAGCGAGGAGGAGGCUACUGAGACUAAUACUCUUGGAUAGUGGACGUUACUCGCAGAAUAAGCACCGGCUAACUCUGUGCCAGCAGCCGCGGUAAUACAGAGGGUGCGAGCGUUAAUCGGAUUUACUGGGCGUAAAGCGUGCGUAGGCGGCUUUUUAAGUCGGAUGUGAAAUCCCCGAGCUUAACUUGGGAAUUGCAUUCGAUACUGGGAAGCUAGAGUAUGGGAGAGGAUGGUAGAAUUCCAGGUGUAGCGGUGAAAUGCGUAGAGAUCUGGAGGAAUACCGAUGGCGAAGGCAGCCAUCUGGCCUAAUACUGACGCUGAGGUACGAAUGCUUGUUGAGCA
rnacentral:rRNA from 1 species